rnacentral:rRNA from 1 species
GAUGAACGCUGGCGGCGUGCCUAAUACAUGCAAGUCGAGCGAACAGACGAGGAGCUUGCUCCUCUGACGUUAGCGGCGGACGGGUGAGUAACACGUGGAUAACCUACCUAUAAGACUGGGAUAACUUCGGGAAACCGGAGCUAAUACCGGAUAAUAUAUUGAACCGCAUGGUUCAAUAGUGAAAGACGGUUUUGCUUUCACUUAUAGAUGGAUCCGCGCCGCAUUAGCUAGUUGGUAAGGUAACGGCUUACCAAGGCAACGAUGCGUAGCCGACCUGAGGGGGUGAUCGGCCACACUGGAACUGAGACACGGUCCAGACUCCUACGGGAGGCAGCAGUAGGGAAUCUUCCGCAAUGGGCGAAAGCCUGACGGAGCAACGCCGCGUGAGUGAUGAAGGUCUUCGGAUCGUAAAACUCUGUUAUUAGGGAAGAACAAAUGUGUAAGUAACUAUGCACGUCUUGACGGUACCUAAUCAGAAAGCAACGGCUAACUACGUG